rnacentral:rRNA from 1 species
UACAGAGGUCUCAAGCGUUGUUCGGAUUCAUUGGGCGUAAAGGGUGCGUAGGCGGCGCGGUAAGUCGGGUGUGAAAUCUCGGGGCUUAACUCCGAAACUGCAUUCGAUACUGCCGUGCUUGAGGACUGGAGAGGAGACUGGAAUUUACGGUGUAGCGGUGAAAUGCGUAGAUAUCGUAAGGAAGACCAGUGGCGAAGGCGGGUCUCUGGACAGUUCCUGACGCUGAGGCACGAAAGCGUGGGGGAGCAAACAGG